rnacentral:tRNA from 1 species
GGCGCGGUAGCAAAGUGGUUACUGCGAUUGACUAGAAUCGAUACUGUGCUAAAGUAUCUCAGUAUUGGAUAUCAAUUCCCUUCGGGGUAAGUGACCCUUUCAAUCUUGCGAAACGAUUACAUACUAACAACCUCUAAGGGCGCAGGUUCGAAUCCUGCCCGCGUCG